rnacentral:rRNA from 1 species
CAGCCGCCACGGGAAUACGGAGGGUGCAAGCGUUAAUCGGAAUUACUGGGCGUAAAGCGCACGCAGGCGGUCUGUCAAGUCAGAUGUGAAAUCCCCGGGCUUAACCUGGGAACUGCAUUUGAAACUGGCAGGCUAGAGUCUUGUAGAGGGGGGUAGAAUUCCAGGUGUAGCGGUGAAAUGCGUAGAGAUCUGGAGGAAUACCGGUGGCGAAGGCGGCCCCCUGGACAAAGACUGACGCUCAGGUGCGAAAGCGUGGGGAGCAAACAGGAUUAGAUACCCGCGUAGUCUCUGUCUCUUAUAC